AUAUUUACGAAGUGUCAAUAGGAUAAUAUUAAAGUUUCGUUAAGAAAUUUUAAUGUUUCGAUAGUUAAUUAUGAAAAAGGAUUAAAUUGCAAUAGGGAUAAAAGUUUAAUUAUAGAUUAAAGAAAAGUUAAAAGGACCAAAUAGGCAAUUAUGCCUUUUUCUAAAGUUGAGGCGGCAUAAUGAAAGAAAUAUCUGAGAUAUUCUAGUUAAUAUAUAUAUUAUAUAUAUGUAAGUAAUGAUUAUUAUUAAUAUUUUAUAUUAUAUUAUAUUAUAUAUAUAUAUGACAAAGAAAGAAAGAAAAGAAACAGAGAGCAAAACAAAACAAAACAGAGAAGGGAGAAAGAAAGAAACAGAGAGCAAAACGAAACAGAGAAGGAAGGAAGGAAGGAAAGAAAGAAAGAAAAGAAAAGAAAAAGGGAAAUUUGGGGUUUUAAGGUUCAAAGUAAUUUGGUAAGUCAAUUUAAUCCCCUUUUCUCUUAAUUUUGAUAUUUUUUUUGAAAUCCUAGAACAAAAUACUACUUGAUUUAAGUUGAAAUUUUGGAAGUUAGUAGAUUAUUAAGCAUGGUUCAUGUUGAAUAAAUUGUUAAAUUAGGGAUGUAUUUGAUAGAAAUUUUGAUUGGAAUUGAAUAAAGGAUUGAAUUAUAAACUAAACUAUAAGUUUUAAAUUUUAGGGAUUAAUUUGAAAUAAAUUCGGAAUUAUGAAAACAUGAUAAAAAUUAAAUAGUUAAAUAUGAGUUUAGUAAGAAAUUGGGUAGAAUAAGGGUAUGAAUUGAGAAAGAAAAAUAUAUAGGUUUAGUUAGGGGUUAAAUUGAUUUAAUUUCAAGUUAGAAGUUAGUAAAGAAUGUAAUUGUAAAAUAAAAUAUAAGUUUUGAAUUGAUAGGAAUUAAAUUGAAAGAAUCCCGAAAUUAGGGAUUUAUGGGGAAAUUGAAGAAUUAAACUGAGUUUAUAGUAAGAAUUAAGAGAGAAUAUAGAGUUAGAAUGCAAAAAAUAAAAUUAGUAUUGAUAAGGGAUUAAAUUAGAAUUUGAUGUUGCCAUAGAAGGGAAAAAUGUUCAGAAUGUUAUAAAACAUAAGAAUAAGAGAUGAAGUUUAAUUUCCGAGCCUUGGGGCAAAAAUGUAAUUAUGUAAAAGUUUAGGGGCAAAAUUGUAAUUUUGAAAAAGUUAGAGUCGAGGGCUAUUUUGAUGAAUGUGAUUAUUAAAUAAGUUAAAUUUACUAUUUUAGAUCAAGAAGUACGAAACUCGAGGUUAGACAAAGGGAAGAAUAAAGUUGAAGACUAAGUUGGUGAAUUUGGCUAUAAUUGGUACCGAGGUAAGUUUACGGUAAAUAAAUGCAAUAUUUCAAUAUUUAUUAUUAAUGCUGUUAAUUUCCAGCAAUUAUGAAUUUAUUUUAUGAAUUUAUUUGAUGAUGAUCCAAGCAUGAAAUGAUAGAGAAUUAAAAUUUAAAAGUCCCGUUGAUACAUAAGGAUGGUACUGGAUACGAAUGUCAUGACAUUUGGGUAAAGAGAUCCCAUGUAAGACCAUGUCUGGGACAUGGCAUUGGCAUCCUUAAGAUCAUGAGAGGUCCCCUGUAAGACCAUGUCUGGGACAUGGCAUGGGCACCGAGACGAGAGGUCCCAUGUAAGACCAUGUCUGGGACAUGGCGUUGGCACCGAGAUGAGAGGUCCCCUAUAAGACCAUGUCUGGGACAUGGCAUGGGCACCAUCACGAGAACAUCCCAUGUAAGACCAUGUCUGGGACAUGGCUUUGGCAUGUUAUUAUCAGAAGAGACCCGAGUAUCCUUAUUAUUCCAAUGUAGUUCAACGGGCUUGUAAACGAAUCAUGUUCAUGAAAGUUCAGUUUAAAGCAUAAAUGGCAAGCUCAGGUAAGUUGUAAGACUUAAGAACUUAUUAUACUAUCAAUUGAUGUUCAACGAUGCAGCAAGGAUUGAGUAAGUUAUGCACACAAAUAUUCUAAGUAAACAAGUAAGAGAACUAGUAUGAGAUUAACUAAAGAGUAAACUAGAGAUAUAGACAUUGAGUUUAAUUAUUUAAGUUAAAUAUUGUUAUUUAUUUGCUAGUAAACUUACUAAGCUUUAUGCUUACUUCUUUUAUUUCUCUUUCUCUUAUAGUAUUGCAAAGCUACUUCAAGGAUCCUAAAGAAGUCGGAGAUCGUCCACACUAUCAACUACAACUGCUCGGUAUUUUAUAUCGAAACACGUUUAAGUUAUGGCAUGUAUAGGGAUUUAGUUAUUUUGUAUGUUUGUAGUGAUGAUUUUGCUAAUUAGUGAUGUGUAAGUAUUUGAUGAUGUAUGGUUAUUAAAAUGAUUAAGGAUGAAGGUGUUUGUUGUUAUGAAAGAUUAGGUGAUAAAUUAUGCAUGGAAAUCAUGAAAGGAUAAAAUUUUGCAAAGAAACAGAAUUCAGGCAGCACAGUGACGUGAAUUUGAAAAAUCACCCAAGAUAGUAUAAAAUGAAUUAGAGGGUGAAUGAUAUAUGGAAUUAAAGCUUGUUGAGUCUAUUUUCAUGGAAAAAUAACGGUGUAGAAAAAAGAAAUUUAUAUUUUAAGAUAUGUGAAUUUUAGUAAGAUAGGGUCAGAACUGUUUUUGGAGUCCCCUAUUCUGAGUUUAGAAAAUAAUUACAAAUUGUACAAAAAUGGUUAUGAGUUGAAAUUUACAUGCUUAGAUUCCUUAAUGAGUCUAUUUUCUAUAGAAACAAGUAAGAACUUCAUAUGAAAAUCCUAUAGUGAGAAAACUUAUUUUUAGUGACUAGAGGUCAGGGCAGUCUGGUGGUGACACAGGGGAGACUUUAACUAAUAAACUGUACUAAUUU
rnacentral:lncRNA from 1 species